GCGAUUAUACCAGCAGUAAUGCAUCGGAUCACAUCAGAACUCCGUAGUUAUGCGUGCUUGGGCGAGAGUAGUACUAGGAUGGGUGACCCCCUGGGAAGUUUUUGUGUUGCACCA